CUUCGUGUCAUAGAAAAUGUGGUCGAUUUGAUUCACCCUUGGGUCCUGCACUCCCGCCGCGGAGAUGAAGCGGAGGGUCGUCUCCUCCGAGGCCUGUGUACUCGUAUUUUCGCGGGCGCUGCACACCGAAUCCGUCCAGAAAAGCCCCCUGCCAGAUUUAUGAUUCCCUCGAUUCUACUACCUGUUGCACGCAGAUGACCUCAUGCUAAUCUCGCUUUGUCGAGCCAUUUGAUGAGGUACCCCUCCGCUUAAUCUCUCUUUAUUUCCAUCAUCAUCAGCUUCUUCGUCUUCGCCUUCGUCUUCUUCUUCUUCUUCUUCCAAGCUCAUGAGAACCAGCGGGGGAUUGGGCGCAUUGAUCCAGUUAUGUAUUGCAGGUUUUGCUCUCAUCACAGGCUUCUGAGAUCGAUUUUCCGGUCUACUAGUUGGUGUUUGGCUUCGAGAUCGAUAGGGAACGGGAGGAUUUUGGGAUAUGGGGAGAAGGAGAGUGGUGCGGAUGACCGACGAGGCUCGAAAUCCCUCGGUGGCAGUGAACUUUCCAAUGAAAAGUCGAAGAAAUCGGAUUUUGAUCACUGUUCGUCGGAAAAGUCCGAUGCCAAUGAAAGGAUUCAAGAGUAUCAAUAUGGGGAAGCAGAGGGCAUCCCAGAAGGAGGCCCUAGGAGGAGACAUCCAGAUGAUCACAGACAAAUAAACAAAAAAAGCUCGGACGAGUAUGUUAGGAAAUUGCGAUGGGAGGAGGGUUCAGGGGAGGAAUUUGAUAUUGAGGAGACGUUUGCUGGCUUCCCUUUGCCGGGAGAGGAUUUCGUGAGAAUUGAGGGCUCGGAAGAUCCAUCGUCAAACAACCACGAUGAUUGUAGUGCAGAUGAAUCCUUCUCUGCUAGAAGAAGCAAAGUAGCAAGCAAGAUAUUCGCAAUUCUGCAACAGGAUGGCGCCGGAUUCGACGCAAGGACCGCGCUGGACGAGAUGCAGAUCAGAGUUUCGGGGCGCCUGGUAAGAGAAGUGCUGAUAAGGAUCUCCAGCUCCAUCAAUGGCGCCAACAAAUCCAGGUGCGCUAAACUGGCCUACAAGUUCUUCGUCUGGUGCGACCUCAAGGACGAGUUCCGCCACUCUUCGACCACCUACAACAUGGUCAUGAAGAUCUUCGCCGACUGCGACGAGUUGAAGGCGAUGUGGAAGCUGGUGGACCAGAUGACGGAGAACGGCGUGGCAACGACGGCGAGGACGUUUAACAUACUGGUCUGCGCCUGCGGGGAGGCCGGCAUGGCGAGGAAGCUGGUGGAGAGGUUCGUCAAGUCCAAGGCCUUCAACUACAGGCCCUUCAAGCAUUCCUUCAACGCAAUUCUGUACUCGUUGCUCACAGUUCAUCAGUAUAAGCUCAUUGAGUGGGUUUAUCAGCAGAUGCUGUUGGACGGCCAUGGCCCCGACGUGCUCACCUACAAUGUCAUGCUCUGCGCUAAGUAUAGAUUGGGGAAGCUGGAUCAGUUUCAUGCUUUGCUUGAUGAGAUGGGGAGAAAUGGCUUUUCUCCUGAUCUUCACACCUACAACAUACUGCUUCACGUGCUUGGCAAGGGCGACAAGCCUCUGGCUGCACUCAACCUUCUGAAUUACAUGGAGGAUGUCGGUUGCCAGCCAAGGGUGCUGCAUUUCACUAACCUGAUCGACGGGCUGAGCCGCGCGGGGAAUCUCGACGCCUGCAAGUACUUCUUCGACGAGAUGCCCAAGAAGGGGUGCGAGCCCGACGUGGUAUGCUACACCGUGAUGAUCACGGGCUUCGUCGUCGCCGGCGAGUUGCAGAAGGCGCAGAAACUGUUCGAUGAAAUGCUUGUGAGGGGCCACCUGCCUAAUGUGUUCACGUACAACUCGAUGAUCAGGGGACUCUGCUCCGCAGGGAAGUUUGGUGAGGCGCGUUCGGUUCUUGGGCAGAUGGAAUCAAGAGGAUGUGAUCCGAAUUUUGUAGUGUACAGCACGUUGGUGAGGAAGUUGCAGAACGCCGGGAAAUUCGCAGAAGCGAACAACGUCGUAGGCCAAAUGGUGGAGAAGGGGCGUUAUGCUCAUCUGGUUUCCAAGUUUAAGGGGUAUAAAAUGAAGUAAUGAGCUUGCAGUGGCAUAGAAGAGAGAGGUAGAAGAAUGAAGACAGAGAGAGAAGAACCAGAAACUUCACGGUUGGUUGUGUCACUCGGAUGCUUUGGUCGUGUCAUGCUUAGCUGAUGCCAAAAUCUAUUUGUAGAUGUUUGUCGAAUGGAUGAGCAAACAUCGUAUAUGGACCAAUUAGUUGAAGAUAUAAGCGAAAUGCAAAUUGUUUUCUGGUACAGUAGGUGAUGAUCCUACGGAUGUAUCCUCGCUCUUCGGCAGCAUUCAUUGCAUGA